AAGGAAUCAUUUCAUUUCUUAUUGGAAGGUGUUUAGAUGUUUGGCGGAUAGGGACAGUAUCGAUACUCUUUCGCAUUUUUUCCCUCUUUCUCUCACUUACAAAUUGUGGCAUGUUAUAAUUUUGUCAGAUGAUAGACUUAAGUUACCUGCACCGCUAAAUCACCAGUCACCAGUUAUGGAUCUGAUUGAAUCCAGCUCAUCUUAUGAUAAGGAGAAUCGAAGUCAUCCACCUGCCUCUGAGACUGAUCUAGGAUAUGAGAUGAAGAAAUAUGGUUAUAAACAACUAGCAGAGGUAACUGGUGGUUUCUCCGACGACUACCAGCUCGGCGAGGGUGGUUUUGGUAUAGUCUAUAAGGCAACCUUAGAUGGUGAAGACGUUGCUAUCAAGAAACUUAAAAGACAGCUGGAAAAUAAGUUGGAGGAGAGUGAGUACCUUAGCAGUGUGAGUCACCCAAAUAUUGUUAAGAUGAUUGGGUACUGCAUUGAGGGAAAAAAUAGAGUGCUUGUUUUAGAGUUCGUUCCCAAUAAUACCUUGGCACAUCAUUUACAUGGUGAGUGCUUUUCCAUACUCUGAGAUAUCUAUUCAUACAUAUAAUUAUAUGACUCAUUACAAUGUUAUGUGACUCAUUUAGAGGAUAAAUUUUGACAACCGUCCCUGAACUUAUUUAGUUGUAGCAUUAUAGUCUCUCAACUUAAAAAAUGUAACAUAAAACCCCAUAAAUUUUUAAAUUUUG
rnacentral:misc_RNA from 1 species